GAUGAAGAACGCAGCGAAAUGCGAUAAGUAGUGUGAAUUGCAGAAUUCAGUGAAUCAUCGAAUCUUUGAACGCACAUUGCGCCCCUUGGUAUCCCGAGGGGCAUGCCUGUUCGAGCGUCAUUUCACCACUCAAGCCUGGCUUGGUGUUGGGCGACGUCCUCUUUGGGGACGCGCCUCGAAACGCUCGGCGGCGUGGCACCGGCUUUAAGCGUAGCAGAAUCUUUCGCUUUGGAAGUCGGGGCCCCGUCUGCCGGAAGACCUGCUCGCAAGGUUGACCUCGGAUCAGGCAGGGAUACCCGCUGAACUUAAGCAUAUCAAUAAGCGGAGAA
rnacentral:misc_RNA from 1 species